GCAACAUAUUCAAAUUUUAUAGGUUGCAUUUUGAGCUAGAAUUAGGAUAGAAAAAAUAUGUGAUUUUGAAUUUUGAUGAGGGAGAUAUGGUUGUUUGAAAUUAGGGUAUGAUUUUGGUACCUAUUGUUAUUCUUUUAAUUUUAUAGAGAGUUAUAAAAAAAACUUUUAAUAAUCAAAAAGUGAAAUUCAAAAGUUGACUUACAGAACUAAAUUUUAUGUGAAGAAAUCUAUAUGUUCAAAUCCAGAUUGAAAGAAAAAGAGCUAUUGGAAGUUAGUA
rnacentral:lncRNA from 1 species